rnacentral:rRNA from 1 species
UACGAAGGGUGCAAGCGUUACUCGGAAUUACUGGGCGUAAAGCGUGCGUAGGUGGUUCGUUAAGUCUGUCGUGAAAGCCCCGGGCUCAACCUGGGAAUGGCGAUGGAUACUGGCGGGCUAGAGUGCGGUAGAGGAGAGUGGAAUUCCCGGUGUAGCGGUGAAAUGCGUAGAGAUCGGGAGGAACAUCAGUUGCGAAGGCGGCUCUCUGGACCAGCACUGACACUGAGGCACGAAAGCGUGGGGAGCAAACAGG